GCCUGAAGCAGCUAGCAGGCAUGCCCUCCUUUCCCUACCUCAGUUCCUCUCUGACCUGACCGCACUCAGGAACCAUAAUUCUGUAGGUGAAUGUAGGCUCCCAUUUCGUCCCACAAUCAUUUCAUCAUUCAGGCACAGCUUGACCUCUAAUGUGACAUCACAAAGGCUUCUGGUCCACAAUUUUUUUUUCCUUCUUCAGAAACUACCCCAAACAAGGAAGCUUGUGUUCCAAGGUAAGAGAAUCUGAAACGAAAAACUCAGGACCCCUCACGAGCAGCCCGAUGCUGCUUUCAACCAGGAAGUUCAAGGGAGGCAGGGCUGUAAGGUCAAAACUGCAAAGCCGAAGCUCAAGACUGUAAGCAGAAAGUGGUCUUCAGAGAAAAGGAUUCACCCAAAUCGAAGAGGUUGUCGCACUUCUUUUCCCUGGCUGAUUACAUUUCCUGCCGGUAAACUUUGCUAAGCCCGGGGCGCUGGCUGUAACAGCAGAGACAGGUGUAGGGAUAUCUCCACCCUCUGGGUAUAUCUGCGGCCGCCGCUGCUGGGGGCACAGGACGAAGGGCCCUCGACCCAUUCCCAGUCCGAGCUUCCGGAGGACGCACCUGGCCCGGGGACGUCUCCCACGUGAGGGGGGCCAGCCAAGCAUCCCCAGCCCCGGGGCCAUGCAGUCUGCUCCGGCAGGAGGGGACAGUGAAAAAAGGGCGUCUUGGGGCCAGAACCUCGUGCCGGAUCCCCCGGGUUUCCCCCCAUUUCCAGGAUAUCGUUUCGCAUCAGGGACACUCUUCUGCACACCUUCUACCUCAAAGUCUUGCGCACCUACCCUUCACGUCUCUCCAAAGAACUGAAUUAAAGCGCCUACUGGCCUUGGCGGCGCAGAAGAUGUCAGAGUGGGAUCUGCUGUAGGCUCCCAGUGGCCCCCAGGAGCACCAAGUGAGAUACCUGCUGGGCCCACUGUGUCCAUUGUCCUUGGUAGCCCCGGAGGAUCAUGGAUAGGAAAACUGAUGAGGAGGGAAGUCAAGUAAUAUGCUAAAGGAUACACCAGUGGCAGAGCUGGGGUUUCCUUGAUUAAGCCUUAGGAUGUUAAGCUAAGUUGGAUUACUUAGUUGGAUGCUCCUGGGUACCCAGUGCUUCAUAACACAAGUAAGUGGAGUUCAUUUUUGCAAGUAGCUCUGAGAGCACACUGUGGUAUCCAUCCAGAAGGGUCUUCGGGAACAUUAACUGCAGAAAGUGGAAGCACAUAUGAUCUGGGGAUACAUAUAGUUCUCUGGUUUUGGGAGAUAGAAGAAGAAUUCAAGCAAAACAGGCCUCAGUGACAUUAAGCAGUGGUUGGUAGCAGGUGUGUGAUUAGAAAGACUAGGGAUGGUGUCUUUCUCAGUGAUUCAAGAAACUAAGUUUCAUAUCCUACUGAUAAUCUCAUUUUGAAGAAGGGAAAGAGCGAUGUAUUCUAAGUUUCCCUUACUCUCUGUUCAGCUGCAAAGGCAUCAUUCUCAUUAUUUUCAUGUUCAAAUCCAAUAUGAGGAUUAAUUUAAUAAGAAAUAAAUGGUAUUUUUUCCCAAUGGAUAAGUUAAAACAAAUAUUUUUGUUUUGUCUCUGAGAAACUAUAAUGAAAUAAAUCUAGUCUUCCAAAUGCAGAUUUCACUAUGUGGUUAGGUAGAUAAACAUGGCUAUAGAAAUUAGAACAUCACAAACAUUUAACAAACAGUAGCAAAAAGGACAUUAUAGUCAGCUAUUGGAGAGAAUAUAAUUCUGACCAUGGCCGAAAGAGCAAUAUUUCCUUGAUGGUAGCUUUACUCUCAUGCUUUAGUAAAUAAGUGACUUGAUAUACUACUCUGUAAGAGUGAGUUUUCAGUUGAAGAUAGCAUUCACUUUGUUUUCUGACAUCAAUACUAAAAGGCACUGAUGUAAAACCUCUUAUUAUUUUAAGUUUUCUAAAGUAUUGCCUUGAUUUUAGAUAAAAAAGGAGGACAAGUUAGGGUACAAAACAGAUGACUGACUAUUCUACACACAAGUUUUGGGUGUUUCUUCAAAAUAAGGGUGUGUCUUUGAAAAAAUAUGGUCAUUUUCCAAGCUGUGUGUCCUCCGGCAUUUUUAGUGAAUUGAGUUGAAGAGAACCCUCUCAAGCCAGGUUUCUCCAGGAUAUUCUUUUUUGCCCUCUUUUCGGCCCUCUAUUUAUCAUAUCAAUCGUUUUGUAUAUUUAAGUAGUUGGCAUAUUUCACACUGGUAACUACAUUUUAUAGGAAGGAAUAGUUAUAUGUAUGCAGAAACUAAUCUGUGAAGCUAUGAAGAUUAGCAAAGAAUUUUCUAGAUAUAAAAUUAAUAUAAAACAUCAGGUUUUAGAAGAUACACAGCCAUAAAUAUUACGUUUAAGCACUUGGUAGAUAGUGUUCUAGCGAGUAGAGAUCCCAUGUACUUUACUUUUAAAAACAUUUCAUCAUAAAAUUAAUACAGGAUGGGUACGGUAGCUUAUGCAUAUAAUCUCAGCACUCUCGGGGGGCUGAGGCAGGGGGAUCACUUGAGGCCAGGAGUUUAAGACC